UAGUAACGGCGAGUGAAGCGGCAAUAGCUCAAAUUUGAAAUCUGGCUCUGCUCUAGGGUCCGAGUUGUAAUUUGUAGAGGGUGCUUUGGCACUGAUGGCGGUCUAAGUUCCUUGGAACAGGACAUCACAGAGGGUGAGAAUCCCGUACGUGGUCGCUAAUCUUUGCCGUGUAAAGCCCCUUCAACGAGUCGAGUUGUUUGGGAAUGCAGCUCUAAAUGGGAGGUAAAUUUCUUCUAAAGCUAAAUAUUGGCCAGAGACCGAUAGCGCACAAGUAGAGUGAUCGAAAGAUGAAAAGCACUUUGGAAAGAGAGUCAAAAAGCACGUGAAAUUGUUGAAAGGGAAGCGCUUGCCGCCAGACUUGUCUGCAGUUGCUCACCUAGGCGUUCAGCCUGGGGCACUCUUCUGUAGGCAGGCCAGCAUCAGUUUGGGCAGCCGGAUAAAGGUCUCUGACACGUUCCUUCUACCUUUGUGUAGAUGGCCAUAUAGGGGAGACGUCAUGCGGUUAGCCUGGACUGAGGUCCGCGCAUUGCUAGGAUGCUGGCGUAAUGGCUGCAAGCGGCCCGUCUUGAAACACGGACCAAGGAGUCUAACAUCUAUGCGAGUGUUUGGGUGUCAAGCCCGAGCGCGCAAUAAACGUGAACGGAGGUGGGAACUCUCUCUUGGGGGUGCACCAUCGACCGAUCCUGAUGUCUUCGGAUGGAUUUGAGUAAGAGCAUAGCUGUUGGGACCCGAAAGAUGGUGAACUAUGCUUGAAUAGGGUGAAGCCAGAGGAAACUCUGGUGGAGGCUCGCAGCGGUUCUGACGUGCAAAUCGAUCGUCAAAUUUGGGCAUAGGGGCGAAAGACUAUCGAAUAUCUAUAGUGUCGC
rnacentral:rRNA from 1 species